CCCUUCUCAAUGAGCUCCUUCCUGCCGUAAAAUCAGUGGCAGCCUGUGGAUUCGCACGAGAAGAAAAUUAAGUGCUCAGUGCUGGCAUAUUCACCUUCUGGCUUCAGAUGGGUGAUUAGCCACGGCUGUGCAACACUG
ensembl:snoRNA SNORA75 Small nucleolar RNA SNORA75